rnacentral:rRNA from 1 species
GACGAACGCUGGCGGCGUGCUUAACACAUGCAAGUCGAACGGAAAGGCCCUGCUUUUGUGGGGUGCUCGAGUGGCGAAAGGGUGAGUAACACGUGAGUAACCUGCCCUUGACUUUGGGAUAACUUCAGGAAACUGGGGCUAAUACCGGAUAGGAGCUCCUGCUGCAUGGUGGGGGUUGGAAAGUUUCGGCGGUUGGGGAUGGACUCGCGGCUUAUCAGCUUGUUGGUGGGGUAGUGGCUUACCAAGGCUUUGACGGGUAGCCGGCCUGAGAGGGUGACCGGCCACAUUGGGACUGAGGUACGGCCCAGACUCCUACGGGAGGCAGCAGUGGGGAAUAUUGCACAAUGGGAGGACGCCUGAUGCAGCAACGCAGCGUGCGGGAUGACGGCCUUCGGGUUGUAAACCGCUUUCGCCUGUGACGAAGCGUGAGUGACGGUAAUGGGUAAAGAAGCACCGGCUAACUACGUG